rnacentral:rRNA from 1 species
CUUAAGCAUAUCAAUAAGCGGAGGAAAAGAAACCAACAGGGAUUGCCUCAGUAACGGCGAGUGAAGCGGCAACAGCUCAAAUUUGAAAUCUGACCCUUUCGGGGCCCGAGUUGUAAUUUGCAGAGGAAGUUUCGGGUGCGGCGUCGGUCUAAGUUCCUUGGAACAGGACGUCAUAGAGGGUGAGAAUCCCGUAUGCGACCGGCGACCAACCCCAUGUGAAACCCCUUCGACGAGUCGAGUUGUUUGGGAAUGCAGCUCAAAAUGGGUGGUAAAUUUCAUCUAAAGCUAAAUACUGGCCGGAGACCGAUAGCGCACAAGUAGAGUGAUCGAAAGAUGAAAAGCACUUUGGAAAGAGAGUCAAACAGUACGUGAAAUUGUUGAAAGGGAAGCGCUUGCAACCAGACCUGCCCCUGGGCGAUCAGCCGCUAUUCUUAGCGGUGCACUCGUCCUCGUUCAGGCCAGCAUCGGUUCGGGCGGCCGGAUAAUGGCCCCGGGAAUGUAGCUUCUUUCGGGGAGUCUUAUAGCCCGGGGCGUCAUGCGGCCAGCCCGGACCGAGGACCGCGCUUCGGCUAGGAUGCUGGCGUAAUGGUUGUAAGCGACCCGUCUUGAAA